UACGUAGGUGGCGAGCGUUGUCCGGAUUUACUGGGCGUAAAGGGCGCGCAGGCGGUCGUGCAAGUCGCGUGUGAAAGCCCCCGGCUCAACUGGGGAGGGUCACGCGAUACUGCUCGACUUGAAGGCAGGAGAGGGAAGUGGAAUUCCAGGUGUAGCGGUGAAAUGCGUAGAUAUCUGGAGGAAUACCGGUGGCGAAGGCGGCAUCCUGGACCGAGAUUGACGCUGAUGCGCGAAAGCCAGGGGAGCAAACGGG
rnacentral:rRNA from 1 species